CCUACGGGUGGCUGCAGUGAGGAAUAUUGGUCAAUGGACGAGAGUCUGAACCAGCCAAGUAGCGUGAAGGAUGACUGCCCUAUGGGUCGUAAACCUCUUUUGCCGGGGAGCAGAGGUCCGGACGUGUCCGGGCCGGGAGAGUACCCGGAGAAAAAGCAUCGGCUAACUCCGUGCCUGCAGCCGCGGUAAUACGGAGGAUGCGAGCGUUAUCCGGAUUGAUUGGGUUUAAGGGGUGCGUAGGCGGUCAUUUAAGCCGGCGGUCAAAUGUCGGGGCUCAACCCCGACCUGCCGUCGGAACUGGGUGCCUUGAGUGGGCGAGAAGUAUGCGGAAUGCGUGGUGUAGCGGUGAAAUGCAUAGAUAUCACGCAGAACCCCGAUUGCGAAGGCAGCAUGCCGGCGUCCUACUGACGCUGAGGCACGAAAGUGUGGGUAUCGAACAGGAUUAGAUACCCUUGUAGUC
rnacentral:rRNA from 1 species